rnacentral:rRNA from 1 species
ACGGAGGGUCCAAGCGUUAAUCGGAAUUACUGGGCGUAAAGCGCGCGUAGGCGGUUAGGUCAGUCAGAUGUGAAAGCCCUGGGCUCAACCUGGGAACUGCAUCUGAUACUGCUUAACUAGAGUUUGGUAGAGGAGUGUGGAAUUUCCUGUGUAGCGGUGAAAUGCGUAGAUAUAGGAAGGAACACCAGUGGCGAAGGCGACACUCUGGACCAAAACUGACGCUGAGGUGCGAAAGCGUGGGGAGCAAACAGG